CCCGGUGAUCUAGCCAUGGGCAGGUUGAAGGUUGGGUAACACUAACUGGAGGACCGAACCGACUAAUGUUGAAAAAUUAGCGGAUGACUUGUGGCUGGGGGUGAAAGGCCAAUCAAACCGGGAGAUAGCUGGUUCUCCCCGAAAGCUAUUUAGGUAGCGCCUCGUGAAUUCAUCUCCGGGGGUAGAGCACUGUUUCGGCAAGGGGGUCAUCCCGACUUACCAACCCGAUGCAAACUGCGAAUACCGGAGAAUGUUAUCACGGGAGACACACGGCGGGUGCUAACGUCCGUCGUGAAGAGGGAAACAACCCAGACCGCCAGCUAAGGUCCCAAAGUCAUGGUUAAGUGGGAAACGAUGUGGGAAGGCCCAGACAGCCAGGAUGUUGGCUUAGAAGCAGCCAUCAUUUAAAGAAAGCGUAAUAGCUCACUGGUCGAGUCGGCCUGCGCGGAAGAUGUAACGGGGCUAAACCAUGCACCGAAGCUGCGGCAGCGACACUAUGUGUUGUUGGGUAGGGGAGCGUUCUGUAAGCCUGUGAAGGUGGCCUGUGAGGGUUGCUGGAGGUAUCAGAAGUGCGAAUGCUGACAUAAGUAACGAUAAAGCGGGUGAAAAGCCCGCUCGCCGGAAGACCAAGGGUUCCUGUCCAACGUUAAUCGGGGCAGGGUGAGUCGACCCCUAAGGCGAGGCCGAAAGGCGUAGUCGAUGGGAAACAGGUUAAUAUUCCUGUACUUGGUGUUACUGCGAAGGGGGGACGGAGAAGGCUAUGUUGGCCGGGCGACGGUUGUCCCGGUUUAAGCGUGUAGGCUGGUUUUCCAGGCAAAUCCGGAAAAUCAAGGCUGAGGCGUGAUGACGAGGCACUACGGUGCUGAAGCGACAAAUGCCCUGCUUCCAGGAAAAGCCUCUAAGCAUCAGGUAACAUCAAAUCGUACCCCAAACCGACACAGGUGGUCAGGUAGAGAAUACCAAGGCGCUUGAGAGAACUCGGGUGAAGGAACUAGGCAAAAUGGUGCCGUAACUUCGGGAGAAGGCACGCUGAUAUGUAGGUGAAGCGACUUGCUCGUGGAGCUGAAAUCAGUCGAAGAUACCAGCUGGCUGCAACUGUUUAUUAAAAACACAGCACUGUGCAAACACGAAAGUGGACGUAUACGGUGUGACGCCUGCCCGGUGCCGGAAGGUUAAUUGAUGGGGUUAGCGGUAACGCGAAGCUCUUGAUCGAAGCCCCGGUAAACGGCGGCCGUAACUAUAACGGUCCUAAGGUAGCGAAAUUCCUUGUCGGGUAAGUUCCGACCUGCACGAAUGGCGUAAUGAUGGCCAGGCUGUCUCCACCCGAGACUCAGUGAAAUUGAACUCGCUGUGAAGAUGCAGUGUACCCGCGGCAAGACGGAAAGACCCCGUGAACCUUUACUAUAGCUUGACACUGAACAUUGAGCCUUGAUGUGUAGGAUAGGUGGGAGGCUUUGAAGUGUGGACGCCAGUCUGCAUGGAGCCGACCUUGAAAUACCACCCUUUAAUGUUUGAUGUUCUAACGUGGGCCCCUUACCGGGGUUGCGGACAGUGUCUGGUGGGUAGUUUGACUGGGGCGGUCUCCUCCUAAAGAGUAACGGAGGAGCACGAAGGUUGGCUAAUCCUGGUCGGACAUCAGGAGGUUAGUGCAAUGGCAUAAGCCAGCUUGACUGCGAGCGUGACGGCGCGAGCAGGUGCGAAAGCAGGUCAUAGUGAUCCGGUGGUUCUGAAUGGAAGGGCCAUCGCUCAACGGAUAAAAGGUACUCCGGGGAUAACAGGCUGAUACCGCCCAAGAGUUCAUAUCGACGGCGGUGUUUGGCACCUCGAUGUCGGCUCAUCACAUCCUGGGGCUGAAGUAGGUCCCAAGGGUAUGGCUGUUCGCCAUUUAAAGUGGUACGCGAGCUGGGUUUAGAACGUCGUGAGACAGUUCGGUCCCUAUCUGCCGUGGGCGCUGGAGAACUGAGGGGGGCUGCUCCUAGUACGAGAGGACCGGAGUGGACGCAUCACUGGUGUUCGGGUUGUCAUGCCAAUGGCACUGCCCGGUAGCUAAAUGCGGAAGAGAUAAGUGCUGAAAGCAUCUAAGCACGAAACUUGCCCCGAGAUGAGUUCUCCCUGACUCCUUGAGAGUCCUGAAGGAACGUUGAAGACGACGACGUUGAUAGGCCGGGUGUGUAAGCGCAGCGAUGCGUUGAGCUAACCGGUACUAAUGAACCGUGAGGCUUAACCUU
rnacentral:rRNA from 1 species